rnacentral:lncRNA from 1 species
AUUUUGGCAACGGUUAGUUAUACAAUCGAUUAUACUAAGUUAACAAUCAAUUAUAUAUCAGUUUUGAAAAAUCAAUUUAGACACUGCCUCGUGACAAUCGAUUAUUAUAUACUCACAAUCGUUUAUUUAAUAACUUUGAAAAAGUCUGGAAGACACUGCCUCAACACAAUCGAUUGUCAUAUGUUCACAAUCGAUUAUUUUGUGACU